rnacentral:rRNA from 1 species
AUACGUAGGCAGCAAGCGUUGUUCGGAGUUACUGGGCGUAAAGCGUGCGUAGGCGGUUCCGUCAGUUCGGUGUGAAAUCUCCCGGCUCAACUGGGAGGGUGCGCCGAAUACUGCGGGGCUUGAGCGCGGGAGAGGAAAGCGGAAUUCCUGGUGUAGCGGUGAAAUGCGUAGAUAUCAGGAGGAACACCGGUGGUGAAGACGGCUUUCUGGACCGCUGCUGACGCUGAGGCACGAAAGCGUGGGGAGCAAACAGGAUUAGAAACCCCAGUAGUCC